rnacentral:rRNA from 1 species
AAGCGGUGGAUCAUGUUGUUUUAAUUCGAUGAUACGCGAAGAACCUUACCAGGUUCUUGACACUCCCCGCGAUGCUUUUAGAGAUAAAGCGGAGGUAUUCGGGGAGACAGGUGGUGCAUGGUUGUCGUCAGCUCGUGUCGUGAGAUGUUGGGUUAAGUCCCGCAACGAGCGCAACCCUAUUGCUAGUUACCAUCAUUAAGUUGGGGACUCUAGCGAGACUGCCAGUGAUAAACUGGAGGAAGGUGGGGAUGACGUCAAAUCAUCAUGCCCCUUAUGACCUGGGCUACAAACGUGAUACAAUGGCUGGAACAAAGGGAUGCGAAGCAGUGAUGUGGAGCGAAACCCAUAAAAACAGUCUCAGUUCGGAUUGAAGUCUGCAACUCGACUUCAUGAAGUCGGAAUCGCUAGUAAUCGCGGAUCAGAACGCCGCGGUGAAUACGUUCUCGGGGUUU